rnacentral:rRNA from 1 species
GCGUAGAGAUCGGAAGGAACACCAGUGGCGAAGGCGGCUACCUGGCCUAAUACUGACACUGAGGCACGAAAGCGUGGGGAGCAAACAGGAUUAGAUACCCUGGUAGUCCACGCUGUAAACGAUGUCAACUAGCUGUUGGUCAUAUGAAUAUGAUGAGUGGCGCAGCAAACGCGAUAAGUUGACCGCCUGGGGAGUACGGUCGCAAGAUUAAAACUCAAAUGAAUUGACGG